AGUGAACGCUGGCGGUAGGCCUAACACAUGCAAGUCGAACGGCAGCACAGGAGAGCUUGCUCUCUGGGUGGCGAGUGGCGGACGGGUGAGGAAUACAUCGGAAUCUACUUUUUCGUGGGGGAUAACGUAGGGAAACUUACGCUAAUACCGCAUACGACCUACGGGUGAAAGCAGGGGACCUUCGGGCCUUGCGCGAUUGAAUGAGCCGAUGUCGGAUUAGCUAGUUGGCGGGGUAAAGGCCCACCAAGGCGACGGUCCGUAGCUGGUCUGAGAGGAUGAUCAGCCACACUGGAACUGAGACACGGUCCAGACUCCUACGGGAGGCAGCAGUGGGGAAUAUUGGACAAUGGGCGCAAGCCUGAUCCAGCCAUACCGCGUGGGUGAAGAAGGCCUUCGGGUUGUAAAGCCCUUUUGUUGGGAAAGAAAUCCAGCUGGCUAAUACCCGGUUGGGAUGACGGUGCCCAAGGAAUAAGCACCGGCUAACUUCGUGCCAGCCGCCGCGGUAA
rnacentral:rRNA from 1 species